rnacentral:rRNA from 1 species
GACGAACGCUGGCGGCGUGCUUAACACAUGCAAGUCGAACGGAAAGGCCCUGCUUUUGUGGGGUGCUCGAGUGGCGAACGGGUGAGUAACACGUGAGUAACCUGCCCUUGACUUUGGGAUAACUUCAGGAAACUGGGGCUAAUACCGGAUAGGAGCUCCUGCUGCAUGGUGGGGGUUGGAAAGUUUCGGCGGUUGGGGAUGGACUCGCGGCUUAUCAGCUUGUUGGUGGGGUAGUGGCUUACCAAGGCUUUGACGGGUAGCCGGCCUGAGAGGGUGACCGGCCACAUUGGGACUGGGAUACGGCCCAGACUCCUACGGGAGGCAGCAGUGGGGAAUAUUGCACAAUGGGCGGAAGCCUGAUGCAGCAACGCCGCGUGCGGGAUGACGGCCUUCGGGUUGUAAACCGCCUUCGCCUGUGACGAAGCGUGAGUGACGGUAAUGGGUAAAGAAGCACCGGCUAACUACGUG